CCAUUGCUUAAUUGGUAAAGCAUAAAGCUCUUAACCUUGUGGACGUGGGUUCAAGCCCCGUGAUGGG
rfam:Triticum aestivum genome assembly, contig: Triticum_aestivum_CS42_TGACv1_scaffold_679879_T_7AS-0.086064_1AL-0.052506